rnacentral:lncRNA from 1 species
AGGACAGAUGAGGCAGAAGGGGAGGUUAGGGAGGUUUGAAGAGUGAGAAGAACUUCUGCAGUGGCUGACUUGGAAGAUGAAGGAGGUUAUGAACCAGGGAAUGGGGGCAGCCUCUAGAGGCUGAGAACCUGCUGACACCUACCCACAACCGCUAAGGAAAUGAAGACUUUAAUUCCACAACUGCAUGCAACUAAACUCAGCCAACAACCUGAAUAAGUCGGAAAAAGGCUUCUCCAGAGCCUCCAGAUAAGAGGCCAGGCUGGCGACACCUUGAUUUUGACCUUGUGAGACCUAGAGCAGAGAAACUAGCCAAGAUCACUCAGACUUCUGAUCUACAGAACUGUGAGACCGUAAAUUUAUGUUGUAUUAAGCCACUAAUUGCGUGGGAAUUUGUUACAGGAGCAAUAGAAAAUGAAUACACCUUCUGAUGUAGUUUAAUCAGUUGACAUUAGACUCCUCCCGUUUGUAAUAUGGAGAUUUAUUUACAAUGGCGAGAGCUGCUAUGGGGCCAUCCAUAAUAACACAGAAGUCUUGGCCGACAAACACCAGAAGGAGCUGUCUGGAAGGGGUGACACCAAGAUGUGCUACACUGAACCCAACUUCUGCAUGUUUAAGACAAGAAUGUGCAUCUUUAUUUUUCCUGAAUAUUUCUAUUGUCUAAAUACCUUAGUAAAGUUUACUGCUUCUACGGAUGGCCUAAAAGUUCUGGCAAUGAAAGAAGUAAAACGCAAGGUCAAAAAUUUACAUCAGGUAUCUGAAUGUGUAGCAUAUACAACUGAGUGUUGAAAGAAGACAAAAUCGUUUUCAUCACGAAGAAUAUGUGCUCAGUAAGAAUCAGAAUGUUCAAUUGUGUGAAGGUGGGAGAUGGGAAGAUUGGUAUUAUGGCCUGGAUCCAGAAAUCAGUCUUCCACUAUAGGAAAUGGGAAUUUAAAGAUGAUCAGAAGACAGUUGGGAGCAGAGUGAGAAUAAGAACCCUCAACUGCUGUCUCACCUUUCAGAUCACGAAGAAGUUUUUUACAAUGAGCAGAACACUCAACCUGAAAGCAGAAUGGAUUGAGUCACUGCAGCGUGGCAGUGGAAUGGUGUUUGAUGUUGGCAAAGGAAACAUGUACUUCUAGACUGGACAGUUUUCCCUUAGUUUACAGUUUCCAAAUAGAGACAUCACUUUGAAAUAACAUGGAGAACAUACAUGGAUGUACUGAACGAAGAAUAAAGUCUGUGUUGCAGUCCUGUC